rnacentral:rRNA from 1 species
GUGCCAGCNGCCGNGGUAAUACGUAGGUGGCAAGCGUUGUCCGGAUUUAUUGGGCGUAAAGCGAGCGCAGGCGGUUUUUUAAGUCUGAUGUGAAAGCCUUCGGCUCAACCGAAGAAGUGCAUCGGAAACUGGGAAACUUGAGUGCAGAAGAGGACAGUGGAACUCCAUGUGUAGCGGUGAAAUGCGUAGAUAUAUGGAAGAACACCAGUGGCGAAGGCGGCUGUCUGGUCUGUAACUGACGCUGAGGCUCGAAAGUAUGGGUAGCAAACAGGAUUAGAUACCCUGGUAGUCCAUACCGUAAACGAUGAAUGCUAAGUGUUGGAGGGUUUCCGCCCUUCAGUGCUGCAGCUAACGCAUUAAGCAUUCCGCCUGGGGAGUACGGCCGCAAGGCUGAAACUCAAAGGAAUUGACGGGGGCCCGCACAAGCGGUGGAGCAUGUGGUUUAAUUCGAAGCUACGCGAAGAACCUUACCAGGUCUUGACAUACUAUGCAAAUCUAAGAGAUUAGACGUUCCCUUCGGGGACAUGGAUACAGGUGGUGCAUGGUUGUCGUCAGCUCGUGUCGUGAGAUGUUGGGUUAAGUCCCGCAACGAGCGCAACCCUUAUUAUCAGUUGCCAGCAUUAAGUUGGGCACUCUGGUGAGACUGCCGGUGACAAACCGGAGGAAGGUGGGGAUGACGUCAAAUCAUCAUGCCCCUUAUGACCUGGGCUACACACGUGCUACAAUGGAUGGUACAACGAGUUGCGAACUCGCGAGAGUAAGCUAAUCUCUUAAAGCCAUUCUCAGUUCGGAUUGUAGGCUGCAACUCGCCUACAUGAAGUCGGAAUCGCUAGUAAUCGCGGAUCAGCAUGCCGCGGUGAAUACGUUCCCGGGCCUUGUACACACCGCCCGU